UUGAUUGAAACAGCCUGGGUUUGGUUUGCCUUUCAGGCCCCGAUCACUGUCCAUGCAGACUCAGUUCAGCUGUGCUCUCUGCCCUUCCAAGCAUGCAGAGAAGCACACCAGGUCCCCUGGAGAGGCUGCUGUGAAGCACAGGACAAGGACUCUGCCUCAGAGCAUCCCUGCAUACUUUUAAUACUCCAAGCUCCUCUGUAACUUGCAGGGGACUCGCUGUGCUGCCUGAUUCUGAGUAAAUUGCUUCUUGAAAUAGGAAGUGCUGUUUCUUAUCAUCUAUUGAAGUGCAAUACAAAGGCCAAAUCUCCACCCAUUCUGAACAUAACAUUCCUUUUGCUCCAUCUUAUAAAAAGGUGAGGUUGGGCUGGAGGAGACCAGGACGCUCCUUCAGCUUCCUUGGAAACAUCUCGUGACUAGUUGGAAGCAUGAAGCUCCUGGCACUUUGUGGCUUUUUGUUUGUCUGUCUUUUGUGCCUCAAUGUCUUUGCUGCAGAAGAUCAGGUUAGAAAAAUCUGCUGCUCAAAAGCAUCCAAACUCAAGAAAAAAGCACAUAAAGGUACAAGUUUUAAAAUUACUCAACUGGUAAAAAGGAAAUACUGCAAGCCUUGUCCUCGGCCAGUCCCUCUGGUGAUUUCUGGACCACUUCCACAGCUAAAAUGAGCAGACUGAGUGGAGGGUGAAAAGCAUCUGCCCACAUGCACAACUCACAGUGCUUUGCUUGAGGACCCUCCUUUCACAGAUAGGACAUGAGUGUAUAUUGCUGUUUUCUUUGGGGAAAGGCUUCAGUACUGUUUAUUCAUUCCUUCACUCAGGCACCUUUGUUAGUAUUAACCUGGCAGAAAGAGCCAGGCAAAGCUGUCUGGCUGCCACCAGACUUUGUGUCAGUUGAAUAUGCCUCUGCACCAAACAGGGAUUUAGCUCCUCAAGUAAGAGAAUGAAGAGAGCUGGUUGAAGAGGUGGCUGAAUUGUACUGGUUUGUAUUUCUAGAUUGCCUAAGAGGUGGCAAAGGGUUGAUGCUUUGGUUUCUAGUUAUCAGUAUACAUGCGUAUUUAACCUUUUCUUUGAAUGAUUUAUUUUAUAUUAACAAAGGUGUUUGUUUGUAGCCAGGCAUCGAUGAUUUUUCCUGCAGCCUUUGUGCUUUGUGCCUGCAAUCCACUUGGAAGUAGAUUUCUACAAAUGAUAAAAUUCUCAUCAUUUAGAAAGGGCUGAGAAACUAGAUAAGCAGGUUGCUAAAAGAGUGGGGAUGGGCCAGAUUCAAGUAAGCUUUUCAAUAUGUCUUCCAAGGGGGCUAAAUCUGACUUUAAAAUCAAAGUGGCCUGGUUCUUAACUUCCUUAAGAGUGUCUUCAGGUGGUUAUUAAAGAACAUACUGAAAAGAUAUGAAACCUAAUCAGAUUUCAUCUGUUCCUCUGAAGCCAGAAGACAGCUGUUCUUUCAAGACACCGGAGUUGUGUGAUCACCUCAAUAAACAAAGCUUACUGGAGCAUGAAAUAAAUGCUAAGAAUAAUACCAAAGGGCUGAAUAACAGAGAAACUGAAGCACCUGCUGAUACUUUACUCAUGUAUCUUCUGUCCUUUCCUAACUGUCCUCUGCAUUGCUGCUAUUUCUCUGCCUGGGGGAGAGUCCUUAAAACUGAAUUACUUUUGUUCAUAAAUUCAGUUUUCCUUCUAGUGAAUGUGAGGAGGAGUAGAAACCUUUUCUGCUGCUGGGGAAAUUGCAGAUUACAAAUAGUAAUUUUUCCCUCAGUACUCAUAGUACUACUCUUUCUCUUAACAUAAUUGUCAGUAUGAUAGAAAUUAUUUCAGUGCCCUUCACAAUUUGGGGGAGUUGAAUGGGAACACUCAGAGAUCUGUUGUAACACACACCGGCAAAUGCAAUUCUGAAAGGUCAAGUUUAUGGGCACUUAUUCACUGUCCUGCUCUUACUGAGAAUGUUUCUAUUGUACUGAGCAAUUCUGGGUCUUCUGUGUGCUUGCUUUUACAUUAUUUUCAUAUUGGUUUUGAGAGUAGGUAGAUCUGACCCUCAGCUUCCUCUUUUUGAUACCUGACCAUGCAUAGCACUUUUAUAUCAAAGAUAAAGGAGUUGCCAGUCCUCCUUGCAAGACCUCUGAAUCAGGAGGUUGGUGAAGGAACUGUGUUUCAUUGUUCUGUUGCUGGUCAGGGGGCCAACAUAUUUUAUUUCUAUUGUUUUGUGGAGCUCACAGAAAGAAUCUGUAUAAUAUAAAUGACAAGUAAAUGUGAAAAGCAUUUUUGGUAUUGUUUGCAGCAGGGUUUUACUCUGUAAAAUAUGGCCAUGUGUUUACAGCUCUGUACAAAGCACCACUAACAGAUUUGAAGAUUCUUUUCUCUAAUGGGAGUUUAAGCCCUUCUCUUUUAUAUCUGAAAAAUGGUGAAUGAUUUUCCUCUUUGCCUUACACCCUCCAAACAGCAUUCUCCAACCUCUCCAACCCUCCUUCAGGAAAAUUGUUCCCUCUGAUAACAAAAGCAUAAGCCCCAGAGACCAUUAACACAAUUAUUACAGAAAUACCCUGGAUCUCUGGAGAGAUCCCAGGAGAUAAUUUAAUGCACUUAAUUAUUUUUACUCACCAAGUUUCCCAGGCUGGCCUCAAUCCCUGGUUGGGGGCUAUUCAAGUUAAAGAUGCUACUUGUGUGAGGUCCUAGGCUUGGCUGAGUAGACUAAAGCAGGAAUCUCCAAAUUUUUUCAGCAUGGAUUGUGACUGCUGCCCAAAUGAUUUGUUGCUUCAUAUAGAGGUAUCAGAAUGUUGUGUGUCCUCUUGAAGGUAAUUCCCCAACAGAGUUUGACUCUUAUGUACCAGGCCAUUUCCCCAUGUGGUAGGACAGAGCUACCAUCUGAUCAUAGCUUCACCUACAGGCAUCUGUUCUUCCUUUUGUUUUCCUUUCACUUCUACAUGUAUUUGUCUGGCAUUACCAGAAGAGAAACACAUUUGCUCAAUGGCUUUUCAAAAUACACAAGCUGUAUGCUUAUAUAAAGUAGUAAAUUUAUCUUGUCCAAGCUGACAAAUGCAUUUUUUGUGGUUUUGUGUGCAUUCGGCUGUCAAGCAAGAAAAUUGCCCAGCCCUUAAGUUGCAAUAAGGAUGUUUCUGAAGUGCCUCUAUGCCUGACAGAACAGAUGUUGAAUCUUGGUCUGACCUUGUCAAUUAAGUGAGCCAGGUGGCUCCUCACUUUGUUUACAGCUUAAUACCACCAGCUAACACCAAAUCAGUCUGUUUUAUUUGGCACUAUGACUGUGAAUUGUCGGGAGCACAGGAGAAAUGAUCCCUGCUGACGGGGAGUAUUGGUGUAGAGGUAAGUUUUGGGAUUCCUUUUUUUCUAAGUGGGUAGUAGGAGAAAUAAAAAUAUGUAUUCUUUAUACAAAAUAUUAUCCCAAAAGUUGUAAUGGGGGCUCUUGAUGUUGGCUUUUCAGCUGUCUAGACUGUGUGGCUCACAGCUGAUGCAGGGACCCAGGUAGCCUCGAGGAAAUCAGGAUUUUGGCUCUGGAGAAGUUCUCUUUAUCCAAAGCAUGGACUACAGCGGUGCAACUUCUUGUGAUUCCAUUUGCCAAGGAAAACUACAGUCCUCCAUGAACAAGGUCAUCUCAAACAAUAAACUCAGCUGAAAUAUAAAAGCAGAAGGAUAAAUACUUCCUGUGUAGAUACACCGCUAACUCUUGCCAAAGCUGAGUAGGAGACUCAUGGUGGCUUCAGUAUUCAUUGGAUCAAGUCUGAUGACCUGUUGCCUGACUGUUUUGUCGGAAGUUAUUGCUAACUACUCCCUCAUGAGUAGCUUUAGGAAAAUACUGACAGAUUGUGGAGGCAGGUCAGGUGUAUGUGGACAUUUUACUGAAGUUUCUUCUGAGAAGAAUUUAUCGAAAGCUUGUCUCUUCUGUCCCUUGUUAGGUUGAGGGAAAAAUCCACUUACACCGUCAUUUUUUUACCUCAGUUGUUAUUCGAUGUAAGCAGUUAUCUUGACCAUAGCUAAUUGCUCUGCAGGACUCAUUUGUUUAAUUGCUGUUGGUGAGCAGAGAGAGCUCCCUAAUGGCAGGAGCAAGGGCAUUGGUUCUGCUCCACAUAUGCCUGUGGUUCACAGUAGCCUUCAGUAUUAUAAGACUUACAGCAGCCAUUGGAUAAUCUACCUUGGUUUUGAAAACAUAACUGCUCUUUCAUGCUUUGUCUUCUGAUCUUAGGGCAGGGCUAUUGGCUCAGAAGGAAUUCUGUCUUCAAUGGUGCAUUGGUGGGAUCUCUGCUAGAGUUCAGUGUCUGGAUAUGGAUUUGUUCAAGUUGUCAUUCAACAUUUGUUUGUGUGUUUCAGAUGUACUGACUGUGAAUAUCUUCCAAGUGUUAGGGAUUUAAUUCCACAUUUUCAGGCUGAUGCUCCACAAGGGAGCUAAGGACAGAUUUCCUGUAGGAUAAGCACCUUACACUCACAAUGCCAUCUGGUCAGGCUCUGAACACGUUAUCAGGGAAAUCAGGUCACUAUGAGUGAUCCUCAGAUGAACGUGACUGGUCCGGCUUCUGCAGCCUGAGAGCCACAACCACCUCAGUUCUCCCAAGAAGCUCGUGUACCAGGCCCAGUUUCUGUCAGACACUCAGGCUGCAGCUGGGAUGUUCCUUUAAGAGCUGAUUGCUCCCAGCUGCUGGUACAGCACGGGUACUCAGGGCUGGUGAUUUACACCUGGUCUAGGAGGCACUGGAGUCUGAGCAUUCAAAGGUACCGCACACAAAAAUGCCUGUUCCUUAACCGCCCACCAGGCACCUGUACAAUCAUUUAACCCCAUUGCUGUGCACUCCAUUUGUGAUAAGCGUGGUGGAGUCACAGCAAUGGAUACAUCCUGGCUAAAGGAUCUCCAGGGGCAAAAGCCAAACAGCAGCAGGGUUUCCGUCAAGCAUGUGACAAGCAAGAUGCUGCUUAGUCAGUGAAGAAGAGUGCUUUUCUGCUGGGUUUUGUCAUGUUGUUUGGUCUUCAGCGCUGAUGUCAACCUCAGGGGGCAAAAAGACAUAUUCCUGAGGCACCCUUUGGUGUUUGCUUCAUCUCUGAAAAUCAAAUCUCUGUAGAAUGUGCUUCCAAUUGUUUCCCAAAACUGAAGUGCGCUGGAAAAUUCUGUCUUUGCUAGGUGGGUCCUCCACGCAAAGCUUCCCGUUUGCAUUGUCCCAGAACCCUGUGUCACGGUCAGUGCCAGUUGUGCGGCCUGUUCACCAAGCAGUGCUAAAACCUAUCUGCAUCACAGAUUUCUCCCCAAGAGAUCAAUAUGCCUGUAAAGGAAGAUGUCUUCAUAGGAAAAAAAACAUGUGAAGAAGUCUAUCUGUUUAUGAAUGCUAUCAGAGAAACAGUGAGGUGGUUAAAAACAAGAUUCUGUGUGAGCUGAGAUAAUGCAACAGUGUCUUCAAGUCCCUCUUUAAAGAAUUCUUUUUGACUCAGUGGCUUUCCAGUUGUUUAACUUCCAUUACUUGGGAAACAAUAAAUGAUGGCAAUUGUCACUGAGCUCUUUAAUGUUCUUUGAAUGUACCAAGGUUAAACAAUUCAGCAUUUUCCUUUUACUUAGUUAAAUAUAUACCAGUACUGCUGCUUUAUUCUGCACACAUCUUCAGGUGUGUGGUUGAUGAAAAGAGAGAAAGCACUAUGUGCAUGUUGACCUUAACCUCGUAAGCUCCACCCUUGAUAGUCUUUGAAAGGAACUCCUCUUAAAUUUCCAUUUAAAUCAAGACUCAGCAGUUUUUAAAAAAGAUCCUUGAGUCUGAGCAGUAAAGUCAACCUGCUCUUCAUAAUUUUAUUAUAAAAUGUACUUUGCACUUUUUCCUGUCUCUUGAACAGAACUUUCUAUUUCCUUCCUCAACAUUGUUUCCAUGCUUUCUUUUGUUCCUAAACAUGUCAAUUUUCCUCCUUGUUGGUUCUCACUGAAUAGGAAAUUAGUAUUUUGUCUCUUGGCAUGAUGGUGCCCCACCCAUUCUUUGUCUGUGUGGGAUCUCAAAGAAAUUAUUCCGCUGUCUGAAUUUCCUCAAGUGCUGCACUACAUUAAUUUGUCUCCUUUAAUUUCUGUCCAUGAGACUGACUGGAGUGUACAUUUUCAACAAAUAUGUUAUAAAAUGGUGCUGCAUUGCCUUGUUUGUUUUCAGACAUUAAUUUUGUACCAAGGACACUUACAGGAUUUGAACAUCUCCAUUUAAGGCACCAUAUAAUCAUCUUAAAGCCACAGUAUGAAAAGGGAUUUUUCUGUCAUUUAAUUUGUAUUUCAGCAUUCACUGCAAUAACUUUGGAUUAUGUAAUCUUAGUUAGCCAAUGUGGGAGUCUCUUCUCAGGUAUUUUAUUCAUUCUUCAACUUAACAUCUAUUGCUGAGAUUCUUGCUAUGUAGUUUUCUUGAUUUAUCUUAUUGAUAGAUUGUUUAAACAAAAAAGGUAAGUAAGUACAGCAUUUUGAGAUAAAGUACUGGAAAUUGUGGAAGGAGACGGCGAGAGCACAGUGCUCACAGGUAGAGCUAGUAGAAUGAAGAGACAAUCUUUGGGCUCUAAACAGGUUAAACUACUUGAUUUGAGAACCAUCAUACACACACUGAUUGUAGAAAUCUCUCCAGGCAAAGAGUAGAUAGUUGAUGUAAGUGGGAAUAGAGCGAUAGUCUCACAUGUUUUGCAGGUAAAUUACUUCAAAGCUGAGUAUUUAAUGUUCCUAUAAUAGAAAAUUUGUUGACAUAUAUCUUGUUUUAUAGGUUAAGGACAAGCACUGCUUUAGUGUAAGGUUGCCUGGAUACUCAGGUUUCCUCUGGACACAGCAAUCCAAGGGAAAGGCUGGAGUAUGUCCUGGCCAGUUGGAUCUCAAUGUCCUAACAAGGGAAAACAAUGAACAAUACUAGUUCUUCCAUAAAUAACUUGGACUGCUUGUCUGCUGCUAAAUGGCAUCCUUCACACAGAUCUGUGUCAUGCUCCAUGGCACCACAUCCAUCAGAGAUAAUGCUGCUGAAGUGAAUGUAGGUUAUCUAAAUAUACCUGGAUAUUCUAAGGACUAUUUGUUCAUUUUCUAUCCCUGUCAAAAGAAGACAAGGUGAGUU